GCUCCGAGGUUCAUAAUACGUGAUCAUGAAGCUGCCUGAGCCGUGUAGCCUUUCUCGGUGGCAAAAAGCUUAUCGUUGGAGAUCGUUAUAGAAGUAUACAAGACGCCUUUUUGUCUAGCUCAGCUGUAUCAUUAUCAUCAUCGCCCAUCGCAUUGGAAAGCUUGGUAUUUUCUAAUCGCUCUCUCUCGGUUCGAAUCCUUUGGCUGCGCCUCGAAACGUCAUCCGACGCAUUCCCGCAUAAGUUUCGAUCACGCGGAUCUUGUGGGGUCUUCUGUUCCAAUGGAUAGGCGAGAACGCGCGAAAGAAAACUCGAGCAUUAUAGCAGGGAGCACUGCAAAUGGAGCGCGUUGCACCCACGAAUAUAACCAUGCUUGUUUUUUAUUUCGUUUUUCUCCCGCUCGCAUGGUUACUAUCUUCGUUUGUGUGCUGUGUGCUGUCUCAAACUGACAAAACAAUAUCAAUUGACUGGGAACUGAAAUGAAACGAAUGAAUGACAA